AUGCUUGCUUCGGCAGCACAUAUACUAAAAUUGAAACGAUACAAAGAAAAUUAGCAUGGCCCUUGGGCAAGGAUGACACGGAAAUUCGUGAAGCAUUCCAUAUUAUA
rnacentral:snRNA from 1 species